UAGGGAAUCUUCGGCAAUGGGGGCAACCCUGACCGAGCAACGCCGCGUGAGUGAAGAAGGUUUUCGGAUCGUAAAGCUCUGUUGUAAGUCAAGAACGGGUGUGAGAGUGGAAAGUUCACACUGUGACGGUAGCUUACCAGAAAGGGACGGCUAACUACGUGCCAGCAGCCGCGGUAAUACGUAGGUCCCGAGCGUUGUCCGGAUUUAUUGGGCGUAAAGCGAGCGCAGGCGGUUUGAUAAGUCUGAAGUUAAAGGCUGUGGCUCAACCAUAGUUCGCAUUGGAAACUGUCAAACUUGGAUGCAGAAGGGGAGAGUGGAAUUCCAUGUGUAGCGGUGAAAUGCGUAGGUAUAUGGAGGGACACCGGUUGCGAAAGCGGGUCUAUGGUCUGUAACUGACGCUGAGGCUCGAAAGCGUGGGGAGCGAACAGG
rnacentral:rRNA from 1 species